CCCUAUGGGGUGCAGCAGGCAACGCGAAUCGGUGCCCUGCGCGAUCAUGGUUUAUGCUUCUCAGGCGGGGGAUUUCCGGCUAGAGUCCCCCGCAGCGUGGGUUUUGCGGAUUAAUACGGCAACAUUUACGGCAAAGGAACCCUAUGGCGGAUAAAACGAUCAUCAGAAAAGUGUCCGACAAAAGCACCAAACAAGAAGUGCUGGAAGCCUACCAGACGCUGGCCAAACAGCUCGACGAGAAACGGGCGGGGGAACUCAACCCCGAGAAGCAAAUCGAGCUGAAAAAGUCCGAGGAAGCGAUCAAGACCGCGGAUUCACUCGGGACGGAUACGAUUGAUCGGAGCAUCGGCAAUUUGAAAGCCGACAUCGGCAAAUUACUGGCCGAGGUGUCCGAGAAACUGGCGGGGGGGC
rnacentral:rRNA from 1 species